rnacentral:sRNA from 1 species
CCUUUUGAGCAUGACGUCAUCGUCCUGUCGGGCGUCCUCACAAAUUACCUGCAUUCAGAGAUGCGUAUCGGCACAGGCCGAUAUGCGAAAGUCCCAUCAUGGGGCCUUAGCUCAGCUGGGAGAGCACCUGCUUUGCAAGCAGGGUGUCGUCGGUUCGAUCCCGACAGGCUCCACCAUUUGAGUGAAACGACUUUGGGUCUGUAGCUCAGGUGGUUAGAGCGCACCCCUGAUAAGGGUGAGGUCGGUGGUUCGAGUCCUCCCAGACCCACCACUCUGAAUGUAGUGCACACUUAAGAAUUUAUAUGGCUCAGCGUUGAGGCUGGGACAUGUUCUUUUAUAACUUGUGACGUAGCGAGCGUUUGAGAUAUCUAUCUAAACGUGUCGUUGAGGCUAAGGCGGGGACUUCGAGUCCCUAAAUAAUUGAGUCGUAUGUUCGCGUUGGUGGCUUUGUACCCCACACAACACGGCAUAUGACCCUGAGGCAACUUGGGGUUAUAUGGUCAAGCGAAUAAGCGCACACGGUGGAUGCCUAGGCGGUCAGAGGCGAUGAAGGACGUGGUAGCCUGCGAAAAGUGUCGGGGAGCUGGCAACAAGCUUUGAUCCGGCAAUAUCCGAAUGGGGAAACCCACUGCUUCGGCAGUAUCCUGCAGUGAAUUCAUAGCUGCUGGAAGCGAACCCGGUGAACUGAAAUAUCUAAGUAACCGGAGGAAAAGAAAUCAACCGAGAUUCCCUAAGUAGUGACGAGCGAACGGGGAGCAGCCCUUAAGCUGGAAUGGCUUUAGAAAAACAAUCUGGAAAGAUUGGCCAUAGAAGGUGAUAGCCCUGUAUUUAAAAGGGCCACUCCAGUGAAGACGAGUAGGGCGGGGCACGUGAAACCCUGUCUGAAUAUGGGGGGACCAUCCUCCAAGGCUAAAUACUCCUGACCGACCGAAGACUGCAAC